CAGCCGCCGCGGUAAUACGUAGGUGGCAAGCGUUGUCCGGAAUUAUUGGGCGUAAAGGGCUCGCAGGCGGUUUCUUAAGUCUGAUGUGAAAGCCCCCGGCUCAACCGGGGAGGGUCAUUGGAAACUGGGAAACUUGAGUGCAGAAGAGGAGAGUGGAAUUCCACGUGUAGCGGUGAAAUGCGUAGAGAUGUGGAGGAACACCAGUGGCGAAGGCGACUCCCUGGUCUGUAACUGACGCUGAGGAGCGAAAGCGUGGGGAGCGAACAGGAUUAGAUACCCCGGUAGUCCCUGUCUCUUAUAC
rnacentral:rRNA from 1 species